CAUAAUGAUCUCAUACUGUUAAGUAUUUCAGCACUGAUGGCAAGGAGGGGCAGGGUUGCAAUUCCGCCUUAACCCACUAUCCACAGUCUCACACCCUGAUUCUUCUUCUAAAUAUGAAAUAGUUGUGUUAUCAUAAUAAUACUGCAGAUGUGAGGCGGCAGACAGAAAUUAUACAGGGCCUUUGCUAGACUAGCACUGUUUGGGUUUGUGACCAUCAUCUUAAUG